AUACAUAUAAUAAUGACUCAAAUUAAUAAGAAGUUUUCUUAAAGAGGUCUAUAAAUGCAAACAAAUAUUUAUUGAAAGAAAUAAAUAAAACAUAGGACGUUUACAACAUAAAGUGAUCAAUAAAUUUCUAUUUGUUGCCGGCUUAAAAGAAAAAAUAUGACUGGAAUUAUUAAGUUUGUUUAUUUAAUAAUUCUCUUUACGUCCUUAUUUAUUUCAGUAAAUGCCGGCGUUUUUGCGGGUUGGACUAAUUAUUGCCGGGAGCAAGCUGAAUGUGAUAACUAUUUUUGUGGUGCACCUUUCGUUCCAAAAUGCCUUUAUAAUAAAUGUAAAUGUCGUCUUAGUUGGUGGGAUGCUCCGCCAGCUGGUCCCGAAUAAGGUUGAUUUUAAUCGUAAUAGAAUAAGUUUAUCUUAAUUUUGUUAUUGUUGAAAAAAAUUUGUAAAAUUUGUACUCUUUUUUCCUUCAUCAAAGUUUUGUUCUAUUGAACUUUCUUUGAUAAGGUUUUUAAUGAGGCAAAUAUAUUAAUAAAUCUUGUGUGCGUUAUCUUGGAUAAUGGCGUAGUCCAUCCAAAUUUGUAAUUUUCUUCUUUUCAAUAUCAAUAAAUUUUGAGUGACUGUAUUUUAUAA